UUGGAGAAACACUGAAGUGGACAUGAGUGCUUUUAAAGACAUUUUUUAAUGCAUUUCUCACCAAGGCAUGCUGAAGUUGGAACUCUGUGUGACCUGGAGUGAGUCAACAACUCCACAGGCUUCAGUGACUAACUCUGCGCCAGAUCGGAGAAUCCACUGAAGGGGCUUGGGCUGGCGCACGCUCCGCAGGGAGAGUUUCCAGUUUCAUUUGUGGCCCAAAAGACUCCUUCAGGAUGUACACAGAGGUUCAGUUUCAAAGGAGGCAGACCACAGAGGGGACCUGAGUAACAGCCCAGUGCUGCUCCCGUGUUUCUGCCUGUUUCUGCACUGGCUGCUCCAGCACCGUGCUGAAAACUGGGUGAUAGAGAAGACUGUGGCGUGUUCAUGAUUUCACCACGUCUGCAAGUCCUGAGGACCAACACCUGCUGCGUGCCUCUCACCUGGCGGGCUUAG